AAAACAAAUAAAUCGUAAUUUUCUUGUUGACUUUCGAAAUAAAUAACAAAGUUUUUGUUGACUUGUCAUUUGAGUCAUGUCGUUAAGUAGGUUAACAAAAAAAAUUUACGGCGUUAAUGUCUCCUUUAUCUCCUCUGUUAGAACAAAAAAACGUUGUUUAUUGCAGUUCGUUUUGUCUGUUGACACAAAUUUAAACCCUAAAUCCCCAAAUCGAUUUUAUUAUCUGCGAUUUUGAAGUCAAUGUGGGUCUGUGAUUUUGAGAUAAUAAAAUCGAUUUGGAGAUUUAGGGUUUAUAUUUGUUUCAAGAGACAAAACAACGUUGUUUUGUCUCUUCAAUAAACGACGUUGUUUUGUUCUAACAGAUCAAAUAAACAUUAACACCGUAAAAAAAUUCUCUUAACCUAUUUAACGAUAUGACUCAAAUGGCAAGUCAACAAAAACUUUGUCAUUUAUUUCGAAAGUUAACAAAAACUUCACAAUUUAUUUGUCGAAGUUUAAGAUUAAAUCGUCCCAAAUUUGAAAGUUCGUAAUUUUUUGACAUUUUUCUCUUUUCAAUACUAUCUUUUUCAAUUAUGUUAUUUUCUCUUUCUCAUUUUUAUUUACCCUCUCUUUUAUUUUUUAAUGACCAUUUACCCAUAUUUUGAAAAUAUUUUAGGUUAACAAAAUAAAAUAUUGAUUUGUCCCGUCUAAAAUAUUUCCGUCAAAAAUUUCCAACAAA
rnacentral:sRNA from 1 species